rnacentral:lncRNA from 1 species
GCCAGUGAUGACAGUUUAUAAAAUGGUUGACUGAAAAGCAAGUUUCUAAGCUUGCAAAGUUGCUGAAAAUCAUGAACUAGGACGGUCUGAGGCUAUUCUGAUUUUGGGUUUUUGCAAAGCUUGAAUCUUUUUAAUGUUUUUUUUGGUCAUGUGGGUUGUGUAUGAUGAUAUCAUAUGUUCAAUACAGUUAUCCCUGUCUGAUAAUUCUUGAUGUAUUACAUUUGAUCUGACUUGUACCCAUAUGGUAUUUUCUGUACCCUUGUUUAAUCUUUUUUUUUAUUAAUUUUUAUAAUGAUUUUUUUGUAAUGUGGGCUGUGUAUGAUGAUAUCUUAUGUCUAACAGUUAUCCCUGUCUGAUAAUUCUUGAUGUUUGCAUUUAAUCUGACUCAUAC